rnacentral:rRNA from 1 species
CCCUUAGAUGUUCUGGGCUGCACGCGCGCUACACUGAUGCAUUCAACGAGCCUAUCCUUGACCGACAGGUCCGGGUAAUCUUUGAAUCUGCAUCGUGACGGGGAUAGAUUAUUGCAAUUAUUAAUCUUCAACGAGGAAUGCCUAGUAGGCGCAAGUCACCAGCUUGCGUCGAUUACGUCCCUGCCCUUUGUACACACCGCCCGUCGCUCCUACCGAUUGAGCGAUCCGGUAAAUGUUUUGGAUUGGUGCCGGGGCGGCUAGCUGCCGGUCGCUACGAAAUUUUGUGAACCUUAUCGCUUAGAGGAAGGAAAAGUCGUAACA